UACGUAGGGGGCAAGCGUUGUCCGGAAUUACUGGGCGUAAAGCGCGUGUAGGCGGGCCGACAAGUCCGGCGUGAAAGGCUUGGGCUCAACCCGAGAUGGCCGUUGGGAACUGUCGUUCUUGAGGGUCGAAGAGGAGAGUGGAAUUCCUGGUGUAGCGGUGAAAUGCGUAGAGAUCAGGAGGAACACCCAUGGCGAAGGCAGCUCUCUGGUCGACCUCUGACGCUGAGACGCGAAAGCGUGGGGAGCGAACGGG
rnacentral:rRNA from 1 species